CAGGAACGCUGGCGGCGUGCCUAAUACAUGCAAGUCGAGCGCAGGAAACUGACGGAACUCUUCGGAGGGAAGGCAGUGGAAUGAGCGGCGGACGGGUGAGUAACACGUAAGGAACCUGCCUCAAGGAUUGGGAUAACUCCGAGAAAUCGGAGCUAAUACCGGAUAGUUCAACGGACCGCAUGGUCCGCUGAUGAAAGGCGCUCCGGCGUCACCUUGAGAUGGCCUUGCGGUGCAUUAGCUAGUUGGUGGGGUAACGGCCCACCAAGGCGACGAUGCAUAGCCGACCUGAGAGGGUGAUCGGCCACACUGGGACUGAGACACGGCCCAGACUCCUACGGGAGGCAGCAGUAGGGAAUCUUCCACAAUGGACGAAAGUCUGAUGGAGCAACGCCGCGUGAGUGAUGAAGGUUUUCGGAUCGUAAAACUCUGUUGUAAGGGAAGAACACGUACGAGAGGGAAUGCUCGUACCUUGACGGUACCUUACGAGAAAGCCACGGCUAACUACGUGCCAGCCGCCGCCGUAAAAC
rnacentral:rRNA from 1 species